CCUGUACGUCGUCUACCUCGUGCGUCAUCCUUUGCACGAGCAACCCCAUGGCCACAAGAUCCUCCUCCUCUUCCUGGAUGACACCACGUUGCCCUUUUCUCCUCCUUAAAACGUCCACUGCAGCCCCAGCCGAACCCUAGCAUUUCUCCCCAUCUACGCCGCCACCUGCUUCCAACCCCGACCACAAAAACCACCGCAGCUCGCCGCCGUCCGCCGCCGUCGCCAUGGACCAGCUCGAGCCAACCCGAGCAGUGGAACGGAACCUCCUCGGCUCCCUCUUCCUCGACGUCCCCGGAACUCGAGCCGCCAAGUUCUUCUCGGAAUCAUCCUCGCCGUCGCGCCUUCUUCUGGACCACCGACGGUUGCCGCACGUUCUUCUUCCUUUCCGGCCGUUUCUCUUCGCCGCCAACCCCAGGACACCGACGCAGAGCAGUUCGAGCAGGAGUACGAGUUCCCCCUGGAGGAUCAUGUCGGUGCUUCUACCUCUGAUCUGACAGGCGAGCCCACCCCUUCACCUAUUUUACAUUUACAUGCUCUUUUGAUCUAUUGCUAUCCUUAUGUCACGAUUCUGUUGUGUCACGUGUCCUAUUCCACCUGUUACCUAUAUAUUCGAGAUACACCUCCUCGCCCUACCGUUGUUUGUUGUUUGCCAGCUUUGCGAGUCGUAGGCGAGUUUAGGGUUUUCUGUUGAUAUCUCGAAAUGCUCGGGAUAUCUUGUUGGGAUGUUGACACAUGUACCACCUUUACAAAAGGAUGAUGAUAACUUUUGCUACAACUUAAAAUUGCUAAGGGAUAUAAUAUUGCAGAGGCAUCGGUGAGCCCCUUUGCGAAAGCAUCGGAUAUUUGUCUCGCUUGUGUCCCCUAGGACCCGAGUUCUUGUUAUAUGUUUCUAAGACUGAGCGCGCUAACCACUCGUGGGAGGAUUUAUCGGGACCCCCCAUCACCCAUUACCAUUUCUCAAGUCUGUUGAAAAGGGGGCCACAACCUUGGUUUUAUUUGCCUAUGCCAUGUAUGCCAUGCUUUAUUUACUGUUGCCUUCGGGUGUUUUCUUCCUGUUGCCUUCGGGUGUUUAUAUUCUGUAUUAUACCCCGCGGAACGUUUAGUGAAGCGUGUGGUUUGCACGCCUAGCCGUUAACGCAAACCCUGAGUCCGCAUCGGAGUACGGCCAAACUUCGUUUCGGGUAGCUUAGUCGGGUGGCCCCCCUAGGCAUUCUUGUUGAUCUGGGAACGGUCUUGUUGUGAGACUCUGCACUUGUCUAUGCGGGUUCGAGCAUGCAUGUAUGGUAACAUUGGUGCACCCUGCAGGGUUAAAUCUUUUCGGAAAGCCGUGUCCGCGGUUAUGGACGACUUGGACCUGUUUAACUCGAUCAUGGAACAACUUACACCUAAUGUUGUCGCUAAUAACUUACUAAUUACUUGCGUAUUAAGUUAGCCCUAUUAUAAUGGAAUGGACGUAAAAUUUGGCAACUGUGUGAGUGCCUUGUUAGUACCUCUUGGCUAAGGGGGAUCGCAAUGGCAGGGUUUGUUUGCAGAGUAUAGAACUGCUAAAAUAUGCGCUCUCUCAUCUUCUCUAUUAGACGGAUGUUGUAGCGUGUCUCUGUUGGAUAGUGCUUUGCUGCCGCUAAACUCCACCAUAUAGCCGGGCGAAGUUUACACCGCCCACCAGCAAGCAUAGCUGGUCUUGUCUCGCAAGUACGUGCCAUUUGGUACUUACCCUCAUUUUUCUUCCUCUUUUUCCGGAACACGCUUUUCGACAAACAAGUACUAUAGAUGAUGACCAGUACGCAGGAGGCUACUUUGUCGAGUUCACGGAUGACGACUUCGUUGCAUAGCAGGAUCGUUCCUAAGGCAGCAGCCAGUGGCAUGUUGGUUAUGGGAACACCGCUUGUUUAUCUUCAGGACUCUUAGUCCCAUUUGGUUCUUGUCUGUACCCAGACUAUUUGGCUAUCUUAUGUAUGAUGUAAUAUUGGGACAUGUGUCCUCUGAGUGUCAUUUGGAUCUUGCUCAUUAGAGCGUUGCUAUAUAUAUGAACCUUUAUUUCCAUAUUUUGUGUCAUACAUAGUCAUGUUGUGAUA